rnacentral:rRNA from 1 species
AUAGGGGAGCCGAAGGGAAACCGAGUCUUAACCGGGCGUUAAGUUGCAGGGUAUAGACCCGAAACCCGGUGAUCUAGCCAUGGGCAGGUUGAAGGUUGGGUAACACUAACUGGAGGACCGAACCGACUAAUGUUGAAAAAUUAGCGGAUGACCUGUGGCUGGGGGUGAAAGGCCAAUCAAACCGGGAGAUAGCUGGUUCUCCCCGAAAGCUAUUUAGGUAGCGCCUCGUGAAUUCAUCUCCGGGGGUAGAGCACUGUUUCGGCUAGGGGGCCAUCCCGGCUUACCAACCCGAUGCAAACUGCGAAUACCGGAGAAUGUUAUCACGGGAGACACACGGCGGGUGCUAACGUCCGUCGUGAAGAGGGAAACAACCCAGACCGCCAGCUAAGGUCCCAAAGUCAUGGUUAAGUGGGAAACGAUGUGGGAAGGCCCAGACAGCCAGGAUGUUGGCUUAGAAGCAGCCAUCAUUUAAAGAAAGCGUAAUAGCUCACUGGUCGAGUCGGCCUGCGCGGAAGAUGUAACGGGGCUAAACCAUGCACCGAAGCUGCGGCAGCGACACUCAGG